rnacentral:tmRNA from 1 species
GGGGUCGACUGGUUUUGACAGCGAGUGGAAUUGAUUAGUAAGCACGUCGAGCGUUGUAUGUUUAGCUCGUAAAUCCAAAUGUACGAACUUAUAAACGGCGAAAAUAAUUACGCUUUAGCUGCUUAAUCUGAAUUAUAGUAAGAUUUGCCUAGUUCCUACAAGGUAGGAAAGCUAGAUUCUCCUCAAAAGCCUUGGUUUAUGGCGGUUGGUAUAGGGGAACCGUAAAAGUAAACCUAGAGAAGGUAAAGCUUUAAAUCCUUCUUGACACUGAUAAAGCUAAGCUAAAAGUGGCAGUUUCUAGCCUUGCUUUUGGUCGAAAAUUCAAGAAGAAACUAAGCGUGUAGAAAGCUUUUUGAUUGCUUGUUUGGACGAGAGUUCGAUUCUCUCCGACUCCACUA